GACCUCGGAUCAGGUAGGGAUACCCGCUGAACUUAAGCAUAUCAAUAAGCGGAGGAAAAGAAACCAACAGGGAUUGCCCUAGUAACGGCGAGUGAAGCGGCAACAGCUCAAAUUUGAAAUCUGGCUCUUUCAGAGUCCGAGUUGUAAUUUGCAGAGGGCGCUUUGGCUUUGGCAGCGGUCCAAGUUCCUUGGAACAGGACGUCACAGAGGGUGAGAAUCCCGUACGUGGUCGCUAGCUAUUGCCGUGUAAAGCCCCUUCGACGAGUCGAGUUGUUUGGGAAUGCAGCUCUAAAUGGGAGGUAAAUUUCUUCUAAAGCUAAAUAUUGGCCAGAGACCGAUAGCGCACAAGUAGAGUGAUCGAAAGAUGAAAAGCACUUUGGAAAGAGAGUCAAACAGCACGUGAAAUUGUUGAAAGGGAAGCGCUUGCAGCCAGACUUGCUUGCAGUUGCUCAUCCGGGCUUUUGCCCGGUGCACUCUUCUGCAGGCAGGCCAGCAUCAGUUUGGGCGGUGGGAUAAAGGUCUCUGUCAUGUACCUCUCUUCCGGGGAGGCCU
rnacentral:rRNA from 1 species